GUCAAAUCUAAUCCCUAAUAAGGAUAUUAAAAGAUUUUGUAGAGCCUUCAUGGUAUUUUUUAAUUCGGGGGAAUCCCCACCAAAUAUGUGAAAAGGAGCUGUCAUUAACUACACAUCUCCAGCAAGUUUGUGACAAAUUAGAGUAAAUUUUGUGUAGUCUAACAGGGUUUAAAUGCCAAUGCAAUGUUAAUUUAUACAGGGUUUUUAUUAAAUUCAUACUGUGUAUGUUCUUCCUUACUAGCAACAAGCCCUUUAUCCAACCCUCGUAGUUCAAUUCAACAUUCAUCUCCUUUUCCCAUUUAAUCCAUGGUAAAAAAAUUCUUGUGGCUGCAAUUGUGUAAAGAGAUUGGAAACUCUAG